CUUGUUCCAACCAUGCUUGAAACCCAUGAGAUAUUUGAUUCUUUUGUUUGCACAAGCAUCUAUUAUUUCAUUGAAGAUAGGAUUAUUUUUCUUCCUCAUAUAAUCCCAAUCUACCCAUUGUGCCUCAUGUGUGAUUUUGGACUUCUUAAGAAUGACAGUGGUAUAGAAGUCCUGCUAAAAAGUAGUCCAAAAUCUGUAUUCUUGGGCAUUCUUAGGAACACUGCAUGGAUCCUCUCUUCUCAACCUCUUUACUGUCUCAGUCAUCCCAUCCCCAAAGUAAUUUGCAGGUAUCUAUGAAUGGGAUAUGUUGGCCUGCGAAUGGAGCGCAUAGCUAUGUCACCAACAUCCUCAUUCUCACUUUCCUCAUUGUCAUCAUCCUCUUCAUCACCAUCAUCAUCAUUUCCACUACCACCAUCAUUGCUAUCACCAUCACUACAGCCAUCAUCACUGCCAGGUAGCUCCUUGCCAUUGCAAUGCUUAACAAUGUACUCCUCUUCCUCAUCAUCAUCACUACUUGUCUCUCUCUCGCUCUCCUCAACUUCUUCAAUAUCAUCACUAAUAGGAGCCCUUUUCUAUCC
rnacentral:lncRNA from 1 species